UUCACCGUCGAAGAUGGCCUCAUCGUCGAAGCGUGCACGGGUGAGCUUUAUCUCCGCAGAAAUUGCUUUAGAAAAAAUAUUUGACGAUGAAGACUCCGCUGAUGGGAUGUACAGUGGAGAAGAAAGUGAUUUAGACCGGCAGAUCGAGCGAGGGAGAAGUUGAAGAUGACGAGCGGCCGGAGGAGGCUUGCGCUUCGACUUAGGAACCCAUGGCUCUUGAUUUUCAGGAAAUGUUGCUGAAAAUAAUU